rnacentral:misc_RNA from 1 species
AAGUUGAGAACCUGCACAAAUCCUUCAGCCAACAUAAAUAUAGAUUUAUUAUAAUUUGAUCUUAUAGCAGAAAAUUGUCCAGACGUAGAGUAGAUAAAUGAAAAGGUCUCUGGUGUGCACAUAUACAGUACUGCUUGAAAGUAAACUAAAUUUUUGUGUCACAAAGAUGACUUAUUAAGUAACAAAAACAUUGAAAUUACUAGUACCUACUUCCUGAGUUGUAGUCAACAACAUACGCUGAAAUGUAUUACCUAUAAAAUCAGUUGAAGUUUG